UUUUCCAAUAAAAAAAAUUACAA
rnacentral:piRNA from 1 species